rnacentral:rRNA from 1 species
AUUGAACGCUGGCGGCAGGCCUAACACAUGCAAGUCGAGCGGAUGAAGGGAGCUUGCUCCUGGAUUCAGCGGCGGACGGGUGAGUAAUGCCUAGGAAUCUGCCUGGUAGUGGGGGAUAACGUCCGGAAACGGGCGCUAAUACCGCAUACGUCCUGAGGGAGAAAGAGGGGGAUCUUCGGACCUCACGCUAUCAGAUGAGUCUAGGUUGGAUUAGCUAGUUGGUGGGGUAAAGGCCUACCAAGGCGACGAUCCGUAACUGGUCUGAGAGGAUGAUCAGUCACACUGGAACUGAGACACGGUCCAGACUCCUACGGGAGGCAGCAGUGGGGAAUAUUGGACAAUGGGCGAAAGCCUGAUCCAGCCAUGCCGCGUGUGUGAAGAAGGUCUUCGGAUUGUAAAGCACUUUAAGUUGGGAGGAAGGGCAGUAAGUUAAUACCUUGCUGUUUUGACGUUACCAACAGAAUAAGCACCGGCUAACUUCGUG